ACCCGCCAACGUGAGGUAAUUCGACUCCGGGUGCACUUCAUUGGGUGCUCGUGAGGAGCCUCGUAGUUACUGUGAAAAAAUUAGAGUGUUCAAAGCAGGCUCAUAUGUUCGGAUAGUCGUGCAUGGAAUAACUGAAUACGUGACUGGCGCUUUUCAGUUGGGCUCGGCGACUGGUCAAAUGAUUAAGAGGGACUGCCGGGGG
rnacentral:rRNA from 1 species